rnacentral:rRNA from 2 species
CCUGGUGGCUAUAGCGGAGGGGUCACACCUCUUCCCAUUCCGAACAGAGAAGUUAAGUCCUCCUGCGCCGAUGGUACUGCUUGGGUGACCUUGUGGGAGAGUAGGUCGCUGCCGGGA